UACGGAAGGGGCAAGCGUUGUUCGGAAUCAUUGGGCGUAAAGGGCGCGUAGGCGGUCGCGUGUGUCUGCUGUGAAAGCACACGGCUCAACCGUGUGAAGUCGGUAGAAACUGCGGGACUGAGGCUGGGAGAGGUUGGUGGAAUUCCCUGUGUAGCGGUGAAAUGCGUAGAUAUAGGGGAGAACACUCGUGGCGAAGGCGGCCAGCUGGACCAGCCCUGACGCUGAGGCGCGACAGCGUGGGGAGCAAACAGG
rnacentral:rRNA from 1 species